rnacentral:rRNA from 1 species
CUACGGGAGGCUGCAGUGAGGAAUAUUGCACAAUGGGGGGAACCAUGAUGCAGCAACGCCGCGUGGAGGAUGACGCAUUUCGGUGUGUAAACUCCUUUUAUAUGUCAAGAAAAUGACGGUAGCAUAUGAAUAAGCACCGGCUAACUCCGUGCCAGCAGCCGCGGUAAUAAGGGGGUGCAAGCGUUACUCGGAAUCACUGGGCGUAAAGGACGCGUAGGCGGGUUGGAAAGUCAGGUGUGAAAUCCUACAGCUUAACUGUAGAACUGCACUUGAAACUUCUAAUCUAGAGUAUGGGAGGGGGAGAUGGAAUUAGUGGUGUAGGGGUAAAAUCCGUAGAUAUCACUAGGAAUACCUAAAGCGAAGGCGAUCUCCUGGAACAUUACUGACGCUAAGGCGUGAAAGCGUGGGGAGCAAACAGGAUUAGAUACCCGUGUAGUC